rnacentral:rRNA from 1 species
AUGGGAGCAAGCAGCACUGCAACAGUACCAGAUGGUGUGGGUAUGUUUCAAUUUUUUUUUUUUUUUUGCAUUUUGAGGGUACACUUCCAUCCUUUAGAAAAUUAUUCUCUUUUUGGAGAUGUUUCAAUAUCAACUAUUUUAAGAGGGCAGGCCUGGCGCAGUGGUGAAGUCCUCCCCACUUGUGCCAAGAGGUCCUGGGUUCGAACCAGCCUCUCUGCAUUGCACUUUGCAGGGGUAAGACUAGGUUCCUAUAAUCCCUCCCCAGACCCCACCUUGUGUGGGAGCUUCUAUGCACUGGGUCUGUCCUUCAAUAUCAACUAUUUUCAUCUUUUGAUUUCCAUUUAA